UACGGAGGGUGCGAGCGUUGUCCGGAAUCAUUGGGCGUAAAGGGCGCGUAGGUGGCGGGACAAGCGUGCGGUGAAAGCUCGGGGCUCAACCCCGCGUCGGCCGUGCGAACUGUUUGCUGGAGCACUGUAGAGGCAGGCGGAAUUCCGGGUGUAGCGGUGGAAUGCGUAGAGAUCCGGAAGAACACCGGUGGCGAAGGCGGCCUGCUGGGCCGAGUUGCUGACACUGAGGCGCGACAGCGUGGGGAGCAACAGGG
rnacentral:rRNA from 1 species